GCCAACAUAGCUCAGUCGGUAGAGCUACUGAUUUGUAAUCAGUGGGUCGGGGGUUCGAAUCCCUUUGUUGGCU
rnacentral:tRNA from 1 species